rnacentral:rRNA from 1 species
AGGACGAACGCUGGCGGCGUGCCUCAUACAUGCAAGUGGAGCGACGAACCAGGAUUUAUCCUGGGGCAAAGCCGCGAACGGGUGAGUAACACGUGGGUUACCUGCCUCGAUGACCGGGACAACCCGAGGAAACUCGGGCUAAUACCGGAUGUGCCCGCAAGGGGAAAGGAAGCUUCGGCCUCCGCAUCGAGAUGGGCCCGCGGCCCAUUAGCUUGUUGGUGAGGUAACGGCUCACCAAGGCUUCGAUGGGUAGCUGGUCUGAGAGGACGAUCAGCCACACUGGGACUGAGACACGGCCCAGACUCCUACGGGAGGCAGCAGUGGGGAAUCUUGCGCAAUGCGCGAAAGCGUGACGCAGCAACGCCGCGUGGGGGAAGAAGGCUUUCGGGUUGUAAACCCCUUUCAGUUGGGACGAAGCUUCGUCGGUGAAUAGCCGGCCGGAGUGACGGUACCUUCACAAGAAGCACCGGCUAACUACGUGCCAGCAGCCGCGGU